GCCAAUGUAGCUCAGGGGUAGAGCACUUCCAUGGUAAGGAAGGGGUCGCGAGUUCAAUUCUCGCCAUUGGCUCUA
rnacentral:tRNA from 1 species